UACAUAGGGUGCAAGCGUUGUCCGGAUUUACUGGGCGUAAAGCGUGUGUAGGUGGCACUUCAAGUCAAACUUUAAAGACUGAGGCUCAACUUCGGUUUGGGUUUGAUACUGUCGUGCUAGAGGCUGGGAGAGGAAAGCGGAACUAACAGUGUAGCGGUGAAAUGCGUAGAUAUUGUUAGGAACACCCGUGGCGAAGGCGGCUUUCUGGACCAGUUCUGACACUAGAACACGAGAGCGUGGGGAGC
rnacentral:rRNA from 1 species